rnacentral:tRNA from 2 species
GGUAAAAUGGCUGAGUUAUAGGCGAUAAAUUGUAAAUUUAUUUAGGAGAUUUAUCUCUUUUAUCA